rnacentral:lncRNA from 1 species
GCAGUCGUAAAACCUGAAGGAAGCCAGCACUUGCAAAAGCAAAGGGCAAAAAAUGCCAUUUCACAUCAAGGUUUCCAUUGAACAAGGAUCCCCUAUAGGAACUGGUCUCGGAUCCAAUAAAAUCAUGAAAGCAAUUGUGAAAAAGGGUAAGAGCAAGUGAACUUACUUCUCUGUGAUGAAUGAGAAAAUGGAAUCAUUCUUAAGACCUGAAACAUGUAGGUUGCGGAGAGAUCCACUGCUUCUUGUGACUAGCAUUCGAAGCAUCCGAUCGAGUUGGUGGGGCUGCCAGCGACAGCUCCAUUCGUCAAGAUCUAUAUCUUGCCAACAAUGGGGAUC